UGUUUGUUGCUUAAGGGCGCAUGGUGGAUGCCUUGGCAUGCUGGGCCGAUGAAGGACGUGUGAGGCUGCGUUAUGCCUCGGGGAGUUGUCAACAAAGCGUUGAUCCGAGGAUGUCCGAAUGGGGAAACCCGGCCACGGUUGUGUGUGGUCACCGUAUGAUGAAUUCAUAGUUGUGCGGGGGUGAUACCGGGAAGUGAAACAUCUCAGUACCGGUGGGAGAGGAAAAUAAUAAUGAUUCUGUUAGUAGCGGCGAGCGAACGCGGAUGAGGCUAAACCGUGUGCGUGUGAUACCUGGCAGGGGUUGCGUGUGCGGUGUUGUGGGGUGCGAUGGUCAACGAUCUGCCAGUCGUUGCAUUUCUAGUGCGUGUUAGCGGAAGUGGCCUGGGAUGGUCUGCCGGAGUAGGUGAGAGUCCUGUACGUGAAGGCGUGUGCUGGUUGUGUGUCGUGUUUGCCCCGAGUAGCAGCGGGCUCGUGGAAUCUGCUGUGAAUCUGCCGGGACCACCCGGUAAGCCUAAAUACCUAGUGUGACCGAUAGUGGAUAGUACCGUGAGGGAAUGGUGAAAAGUACCCCGGGAGGGGAGUGAAAGAGUUCCUGAAACUGUGCGCUUACAAUCCGUCAGAGCACCUUCUGUGUGUGUGAUGGCGUGCCUUUUGAAGAAUGAGCCUGCGAGUCAGCGGCAUGUCGCGAGGUUAACCCGUUUGGGGUAGUCGUAGCGAAAGCGAAUGCUAAUUGUGUGUUUUAAGUGGCAUGUCCUGGACCCGAAGCGGGGUGAUCUACCCAUGGCCAGUGUGAAGCAGCUGUAAGAGGUUGUGGAGGCGCGAACCCACGUAGGUUGAAAACUGCGGGGAUGAGUUGUGGGUAGGGGUGAAAGGCCAAUCAAACUCCGUGAUAGCUGGUUCUCCCCGAAAUGCAUUUAGGUGCAGCGUCGCGUAGGUGUGCCGGAGGUAGAGCUACUGGUUGGUUGAGCGGGACUAUCAUCUUAGCAAUGUCAGCCAAACUCCGAAUGCCGGUUUACAUUGGUGCGCGGCAGUGAGACUGUGGGGGAUAAGCUUCAUAGUCGAGAGGGAAACAGCCCAGAUCGCCGGUUAAGGCCCCUAAGGGUGU
rnacentral:rRNA from 1 species